GGGCCCGCACAAGCGGUGGAGUAUGUGGUUUAAUUCGACGCAACGCGCAGAACCUUACCCAGUCUAGAAGUCAUAGGAAUCCGACAGAAACGUUGGAGUGCCCCUUGGGGAAUCUAUGUGACAGGUGCUGCAUGGCUGUCGUCAGCUCGUGUCGUGAGAUGUUCGUUAAGUCCGGUAACGAGCGCAACCCCUAUCUUUAGUUGCCAGCGGUUCGGCCGGGGACUCUAAAGAAACUGCCCGCGCAAGCGGUGAGGAAGGUGGGGAUGACGUCAAAUCAUCACGGCCCUUACGUCUUGGCUACACACGUGCUACAAUGGUAGUGACAAUGGGCAGCC
rnacentral:rRNA from 1 species